AAUUCUCAAACCUUCUUGGUCUCUCAAUCAAGAUGGCUUUGGACUUGGAGGCAUUUGCUGGCUUUGCGAAAAGCCAGCUCCUCUUAAAUGCAUUAGUGGGGUCCCCUUUGCCAAUCCCAAGGUGUGAUAAGUCAUUUCUACGUCUUGGGAUUUGCUCUGUUCCUUGGGAACCCGCUUCUAACCGUCUCACGGGAGACAUCGUUUGAGCUUGCUUGACCCACGAA
rnacentral:misc_RNA from 1 species